GUAGGUGGCUUGAUAAGCCGGUUGUGAAAGCCCCGGGCUCAACCUGGGAACGGCAUCCGGAACUGUCAAGCUAGAGUGCAGGAGAGGAAGGUAGAAUUCCCGGUGUAGCGGUGAAAUGCGUAGAGAUCGGGAGGAAUACCAGUGGCGAAGGCGGCCUUCUGGACUGACACUGACACUGAGGUGCGAAAGCGUGGGUAGCAAACAGGAUUAGAUACCCUGGUAGUCCACGCCGUAAACGAUGUCGACCAGCCGUUGGGUGCCUAGCGCACUUUGUGGCGAAGUUAACGCGAUAAGUCGACCGCCUGGGAAGUACGGCCGCAAGGUUAAAACUCAAAUGAAUUGACGGGGGCCCGCACAAGCGGUGGAGCAUGUGGUUUAAUUCGAUGCAACGCGAAGAACCUUACCUACUCUUGACAUCCUGCGAACUUGUGAGAGAUCACUUGGUGCCUUCGGGAACGCAGAGACAGGUGCUGCAUGGCUGUCGUCAGCUCGUGUUGUGAAAUGUUGGGUUAAGUCCCGUAACGAGCGCAACCCUUGUCCUUAUUUGCCAGCACGUAAUGGUGGGAACUCUAAGGAGACUGCCGGUGACAAACCGGAGGAAGGUGGGGACGACGUCAAGUCAUCAUGGCCCUUACGAGUAGGGCUACACACGUGCUACAAUGGCCGGUACAAAGGGUUGCCAACUCGCGAGAGUGAGCUAAUCCCGAAAAGCCGGUCUCAGUCCGGAUCGGAGUCUGCAACUCGACUCCGUGAAGUCGGAAUCGCUAGUA
rnacentral:rRNA from 1 species